rnacentral:rRNA from 1 species
AAUCAUUAGCCUCUUAAUUAGAGGCUAGAAUGAAUGGUUUAACAUUUCCUUAACUUUUUUAAAAAUUAUGAACAAAUUUAUAUUAAAUAUAAAAAUAUAUUUAUAAACUAACUAGACGACAAGACCCUUUCAAACUUUACUGAAGUUAAGCUGGGGCAGCUUAUUAAUUAAUAUCUUAUUACUUUUAAUAAAAAUAGACCCAAUUAAAAUUGAUUAAUUGAACAAGUUACUGAAGGGAUAACAGCAUAAUAAAUUUAUAUAGCUCUUAUUAAAAAAUUAGUUUAUGACCUCGAUGUUGAAUUAUUUUACUCCCACACGCAAGAGUGUGAAAAGUAGGUCUGUUCGACCUUUAAAUUUU